rnacentral:rRNA from 1 species
CAGCCGCCGCGGUAAAACAGAGGGUGCGAGCGUUAAUCGGAUUUACUGGGCGUAAAGCGUGUGUAGGUUGUUGUUCAAGUCAGUUGUGAAAUCCCUGGGCUCAACCUGGGAACUGCUUCUGAGACUGAACGACUAGAGUACGGUAGAGGGUGGUGGAAUUUCCGGUGUAGCGGUGAAAUGCGUAGAUAUCGGAAGGAACAUCAAUGGCGAAGGCAGCCACCUGGGCCUGUACUGACACUGAGACACGAAAGCGUGGGGAUCAAACAGGAUUAGAUACCCCUGUAGUCCCUGUCUCUUAUAC